CGCGUAGCUCAGUUGGUUAGAGCACCUCCCUUACAAGGAGGGAGUCGGUGGUUCGAGUCCGUUCGCGCCCA
rnacentral:tRNA from 1 species